rnacentral:lncRNA from 1 species
CCCAGGUGCUGUGCUUGUGGAUGGACCAGCAGUACCAGCCUCGGCAGAUCUCUGCCUGACCCAGCCAGCCUCUUCCUCUUCCCUGGGAAGCAGGAGAGCAGGCUGUGGGAGCAGGCCUCCGAAGAGCAAGGCCUCACAGUGGUGGUAGUAUGGGGGAGGCAAAGGCCAAGCCAAAUGUGCUAGGAUGGGGCAGACAGAUAGGGUCAGGAAGGAGAGAAAGGAGGGGAAGGGGUAAUUUAACUCCUAGCAGGACAAGGAGUAAGGGAGGCGUCUACCCAGUGGGAGAAAGGGAAGCUGGGCAGAGAUCUCCCUCUCUCCAUCCAGGGAAAGAGGGUGAUGCAGACAGGGUGGGUUGGGGCUGCCCUGCAGGGAGCUACCCUGCAAGGGGUGAAUGGGGAGAGGUAUGGAGAAAGCUCCUCAUAGCACAAAGCAGAGGAGGCAAAGGAGAAACAGACCAAGAGAGCCCCUCACAGUACAAGGCCAAAGCGGCUGGAGGGACAGGGUGUGGGAGUGCGUGCGUGUGUAUGGGGGAGGUAACUCAGACACUCCCCUCUGUCCCUUCUUCAGGGAAGGACCCCAAAACACCUGCCUUAUCGAGGGUAGGGAGGGGGCAGCUGAGGUGGGUCAGGUUCCUCCAGCCCUACAAGAGAUCCCACAGCCCAGUGGAGGGUAGCACUCUGUGUCCUCCCCACACAAAACCAUCCCAAAGAUGCUUCCUUUUGCUCAGAUGGUGGGACAGCAGCAGGCUGACUCCAGCAAGAGGAUGUGGCUCCAUGAGGGUCUUCUUGAGGGCAACUUGUGCUGAAGGAGGUGGUGGUGGAAGGGGUGUUCUCCAGGCUCUUGGAGGCUGUGUGUGCUUCCAGAUGCAGCUGAGCUUUCUGAUCAGCAACACGCACGGCAAAUGUGCUUUCGGGGCCCUUGUUCCAGUUCCUGCCUGUGUGGCAGCUGCCCACCCUGUAACAUUGAGCUCUGCCCUACAGAGAGGGGCCACAGCUCAUCAUGAAGUCUAUCCAGCUUUCUCUUCAGGCACUGCUGAGCUACUCCCCACCCCCUCACAGAGAGC